AGAGCGAACGCUGGCGGCAUGCUUAACACAUGCAAGUCGCACGGGCAGGGGAAACCCUGUCAGUGGCGGACGGGUGAGUAACGCGUAGGUAUCUAUCCUUGGGUGGGGGAUAACGGUUGGAAACGACUGCUAAUACCGCAUGAUAACUGAGGUUUAAAGGCGCAAGUCGCCUGGGGAGGAGCCUGCGUACGAUUAGCUUGUUGGUGGGGUAAAGGCCUACCAAGGCGACGAUCGUUAGCUGGUCUGAGAGGAUGAUCAGCCACAUUGGGACUGAGACACGGCCCAAACUCCUACGGGAGGCAGCAGUGGGGAAUAUUGGACAAUGGGCGAAAGCCUGAUCCAGCAAUGCCGCGUGUGUGAAGAAGGUCUUCGGAUUGUAAAGCACUUUCGACAGGGACGAUGAUGACGGUACCUGUAGAAGAGCCCGGCUAACGUUCGUGCCAGCAGCCGC
rnacentral:rRNA from 1 species